GCGAGAGUAAUUCAAUUGGUAGAAUGUCUCCUUCCCAAGGAGAAUGUCGCGGGUUCGAGUCCCGUCUCUCGCU
rfam:Candidate division WS6 bacterium GW2011_GWC1_33_20 TR34_C0016, whole genome shotgun sequence.